rnacentral:rRNA from 1 species
AGAGUUUGAUCAUGGCUCAGAUUGAACGCUGGCGGCAUGCCUUACACAUGCAAGUCGAACGGCAGCACGGGAGCAAUCCUGGUGGCGAGUGGCGAACGGGUGAGUAAUAUAUCGGAACGUGCCCAGUUGUGGGGGAUAGCCCGGCGAAAGCCGGAUUAAUACCGCAUACGACCUGAGGGUGAAAGCGGGGGAUCGCAAGACCUCUCACUAUUGGAGCGGCCGAUGUCGGAUUAGCUAGUUGGUGGGGUAAAAGCCUACCAAGGCUACGAUCCGUAGCUGGUCUGAGAGGACGACCAGCCACACUGGAACUGAGACACGGUCCAGACUCCUACGGGAGGCAGCAGUGGGGAAUUUUGGACAAUGGGCGCAAGCCUGAUCCAGCCAUGCCGCGUGGAUGAUGAAGGCCCUAGGGUUGUAAAGUCCUUUUAACGGGGAAGAUAAUGACGGUACCCGUAGAAUAAGCCCCGGCUAACUUCGUGCCAGCAGCCGCGGUAAUUCA